UACGUAGGGUGCGAGCGUUAAUCGGAAUUACUGGGCGUAAAGCGUGCGCAGGCGGUUCGUUAUGUCCGAUGUGAAAGCCCCGAGCUUAACUUGGGAAUGGCAUUGGAAACUGGCGGGCUGGAGUGCGGCAGAGGGGGGUGGAAUUCCACGUGUAGCAGUGAAAUGCGUAGAGAUGUGGAGGAACACCGAUGGCGAAGGCAGCCCCCUGGGCCGACACUGACGCUCAGGCACGAAAGCGUGGUGAGCAAACAGG
rnacentral:rRNA from 1 species